rfam:Triticum urartu cultivar G1812 contig348237, whole genome shotgun sequence.
GCCGGGAAGAGGAAGAAUGAGAGGGUCCAAGAGUAGUAUGAAUGGGAACAUUGAGGAAAACAAGAGCUUUCUAGAUUUCCUCUCCUAAGGAAGUAGAGAUCUAGUUGUAUGUUUUUCCAAUGCCUCCCAUUCCUAUUGUUCUUGGGUGCUCCUUCCCCUUCCUUAUUGGC